UACGAAGGGGGCUAGCGUUGUUCGGAAUUACUGGGCGUAAAGCGCACGUAGGCGGAUAUUUAAGUCAGGGGUGAAAUCCCAGAGCUCAACUCUGGAACUGCCUUUGAUACUGGGUAUCUCGAGUGUGGAAGAGGUGAGUGGAAUUCCGAGUGUAGAGGUGAAAUUCGUAGAUAUUCGGAGGAACACCAGUGGCGAAGGCGGCUCACUGGUCCAUUACUGACGCUGAGGUGCGAAAGCGUGGGGAGCAAACAGG
rnacentral:rRNA from 1 species